GACAGAGGGUGCAAACGUUGCUCGGAAUUACUGGGCGUAAAGCGCGUGUAGGUGGAUUGGUGUGUCAGAUGUGAAAUCCCUGGGCUCAACCCAGGAACUGCACCUGAAACUACCAGUCUUGAGUGGUGGAGAGGGAAGUGGAAUUCCUGGUGUAGAGGUGAAAUUCGUAGAUAUCAGGAGGAACACCAGUGGCGAAGGCGGCUUCCUGGACACCAACGGACGCUGAGACGCGAAAGCGUGGGGAGCAAACAGG
rnacentral:rRNA from 1 species